ensembl:lncRNA
AUGUAUUUUGGGUUGAAAAAAGAAUACUUUCCCAUUGUUUUCAGGUUUUUAAAAGUUUUUAUUAUAGUUGAUUUACAGUAUUUUAUCAAUUUCUGCUGUACAGCAAAGUGACCCAGUUAUACAUAUGUGUGUGUGUGUGUGUGUGUAUCCUUUUUCUCAUAUUUUCCGUCAUAUUCCAUCAUAAGUGAUUGGAUAUAGUUCUUUGUGCUACACAGCAGGACCUCAUUGCUUAUCCAUUCCAAAUGCAGGAGUUUGCAUGUUUUCAGAUUAUUUUUUAAUGCUGUUAUUGAAAUCACAUUUUUGUCUCCUACUGAUUCAAAGGGGAAUCUCAUGAUCAUAAUGUUAGACAAAUGUUACAAAAACCUGGGCAAAUCCUAUGAUUAGAACAAAAGAUUGUUCAGUGUCCUCUUACAAUGAAAGGCACAUUCUUGAUUGGAGCAGGAGAGCUUAUGGAAUGAAAAAGUACUUUUCGGUUGUUUGACACUCAGAGAAAUCAGAGAAUAGAAACCAAAAAUGUAGCUUGGUCCUAUUCUCUGAAUAGUUCUUUUCAGAGGCUGGGAUUCGAAACCUACAGUAGCUUUUAAUGUAUUAGCAAGAUGUUUUCCAGAUAGAGUCAGUAGAUUGCUCUAUUGUUUCAUGUUGAUUCUUUGUCCAAAGGCCAUUAUGAAUAACAACCCAUUGUAUUGGUUGUGUAUGUCAGGGCUUUCUUCUUGCCAUAGGUAGUACUGCAUUUCAAUUUUGAGAAUAAAUAUCAGUGAGAAAGAUCAUUACCAAAUGAGUUAUAAAACAUCAUUCAAAGGGUGUCUUUUAAAACGCUUUCAUAAAUAGAGUGUUUGAUCCAUCUCCCUCUCCCAAUUUAGAAGUGCACAUUUAAAUUCUGUGCCUUUGUUGUUAUUUUUACUGUGUAACUCUAGGUAGGUGAGUAAAAAACAUUUGUGUCAAUUUAUUGUUAUUAGAAAUCACAUAGAAUUUAUUGCUGGGUUUUUAGGUUAUAUUUAGAGAAUAUAACCACAAUGAAGACAGUGAAAAAUUUUUUAAACCUUGAGUUCAAAGAGAACUUUGAGCAGGAAAAAAAGUCUGUUUUCAGAACGGUUACUUAGUUGGGCCUCUAUAAUAGAAUAUAUUGUUCGGGGCACUGAUUAUAUGAGGAAAAAUUCAACAAAAGUAGUUGUUAGAUUUCGUGAAAUUCACUAAGCAUCAAGUAGAAUUAAUCAGUGAAAAAAGUAUCUCAGAACAUUACUUGUAAAAAAUUUGCCAAAUAUUAUGGGACUAGAAGUUGUCAUUGACUUCCCGAGUUAAUUCUCUGAUAUCCCUAAGGUUUAGUUCAUCAUGGCAGAUUAUCACUCUUUUAGGAGCUAUUAUUUAUUUUAUUUGGCUGGCCCCAUAGCACGUGGAAAUUCUUGAGCCAGGGAUUGAACCUAUGCCACAACAGCGACUGGCGCCGUAACAGUGACAAUGCCAGAUCCUUAACCUGCUGCACCACAAGAGAACUCCUGAGGAGCUAUGUUUUGUUUUGGAAAGGUUAAAUUCAGUUUAAUGAACCAUGAUGACAUCAACAUUGGACCUGGGCUCAGCUUGGAGAUUCAGUAGGAUUCAUCCUGCGUUCAUGUAGUAAACACACUUAAAUAAAAAAUUAAAAACACCUUUAAAAAGGCAAGUUUUUAAAGUGUAAAGAAGUAUUUUAACACAUAGACUUUAAUGUGAGCAAUACAACUGAAUCGGGAAGCCUUAAAGCACAAGGAGGGGAAAAUUUUUUUUUCUAAAAAAUAUAAUAAUAUAAGUAUUAUUCUAAUUAUGAAUGCAAUAUAUUUUAUUAUAAAACCAAUUAAUUCAGCAAAGCAAAAAUUGUAAGCUUAGCACCCAACUUAAUAUUUUGAUAGGCAGUAUUAUUCUUUUUAUAGAAAUCAGUGUGAAAUUGUCCCAAAAGAAUCAAGGCUUUCUCGUUAGAAGUUCAAGGAUGGAUAACUGCAUGUGCACCUACUUAAAAAACUGAGAUAAUUUUUUAUUCUGAUACCAAACAAAUGUUGGGAAGUUGAAGUUUUCAGGUUACUUAAGAAUAGAAGUGUAGUUUUUAGAUGAGACAACUUUUUGGAGUUAUUUUUUGUUGUAUUUCCCCUAAAGCCCAUCCUUCAAACAAACAAAAAAAAAUUUAAAGAAUUAACUACCAGCUUAUUACUUCCAAUUAUAGUAAACAUUUCUCUUUUUGUAUCAUUAGGCCAAAGUGAAUUCCUUGUGAGCAAAGAAAGGAAAUGGUAGUUUAGGCUGCUUUCCCUCAGUGUAAUGCAGGGUCCCUCUGGAUCAGGAGUGACAUUUCCAUGGUAGCCAACUUAGGAAUUCUUAAUGUACUUACAAUAGACGAGAAAGUAAAAUAGUGACCACUUUGGCUGUUACGUAUCUUCCCAGUGUGAGUCGUAUGCUGAAAAGCGGAUCAAGAGGAUGUCCACUGUACACUGAUUUUUGAGAAGGUAGCUUUCCCCGUGGGAACAAAAGGUAGCUCCUCGUAGCUUUGGCUCUUAGUCCUCACGUUGGUGGAAGGUGAAUCAGGAAUGUCUUUAGCACUUGGGCAUUUUAAAGAUCUUAGCAGUACAUUUAAUUGACUGAUUUGCUUCAUUCAUGAAGGAGUUGUAUGCUUUAAAGACUUCAUCAAAUUGCAUUGUAUUUUGUGUGUUUUCUGUGCAGGCGGCUGCAUUCAGGUGUAGGUAGUAGUGUUUUCGAAGUCCAGAAAGGGCAGGGUGCUCAGUUGCCUUUAUAAAGGCAAUUUCUUGGUUGACUGCGAUUGAGUACAGAAUUAUAAUACUGAGGGCCUAAUUUAUAAUAGAAAAUGCAGGAGCACAAACCUGUUAAACCCCUUGUACAUGUAUAAAUAAGGUAAACAGUGGCAGAUUAGCAUAGGAUAUUGUUUGAUGUGAAUAAUCUUAAAAACAAAUUUCCUUGGCCUGCGCAUGUUGUACCUGUUAACACAGAGAAAACUUGUAGAGAUCUGUGCAUCAUGUUUGAAAUAUAAUAAAAUAAGGGAGGAAAAAGUAGAGCGAUGUGAGACAGCUGCUGCUUGGAUUGGCAGCCUAUUUAUAAUCUGGGAGGCUUGUAGCUAGAUUGCUGUGCUGUGUGCUGUGCUCUCACACAUCAGAUAGGAAUGAUGAUUUGCGUGCGUAUGUGCAUGUGUUCCUACUCUCAGACUUUUAAUUCUUCAGAGGAGGAUUCCUUUUCCUGCGUAGAAAUGGAGCAUGCUAGCAAAAGCAGGUUUUCCGAGUUCUAAACAUUGCACAGUCUCUCCCCAGGACCUGUGGGCAUUUUUCAGUGCUGGGCAAAGACCUGUGGUGGACCAGGCAUUUAAAGAUGUAAGGAAGCUAUAAGGCCUUUUCAGCAUUCUUCAUGAGGCCGCCUCUGCUGAGUGAGUGCGUCAUGGGGGACAGAAUGUCGCAUUUCAGUACCUUUUGGCUAUCCGUGCACGGUAGACAAUAAUGAUUGCCAAGCCAACGUGUCUCAGGUUUUUUAAUUACGGAUUUAAAUGCCCACAGGAGCUCUGCUCAUAUGUUAAUUCCACCGUUUGACUUUAAAGGAUUUUUUUUUUUUUUUUUGCAUUUUCUGAUUCAGAUUAUAAAAGGCAGUCAGCCAUUCGGUAUGAAGACAGUUUACACAUAAACUUGUGUGAGCAGCAGGCAGGUAUAGAAGAGGUAGGCUAAAGCUCUUCCACAUUUUUAUUCUGAGAAAGAGAAACGCCCUUCCUCACUGCUCUUCCUUUAGGUUUAUUUUAAGGGUCUGAAAAGAGGUAUGUUAAUAAAAAUAACCAUGACACUUGUAUUCGCAAAGGAUCGUAAAGCAUUGGAAUGGCAUCCUUGAGUCCAUGUCUUGUCAGCCUGCUAUCUGCAUCAUAGACUGUCUGCAACUAAAUUUUCCACUGAGGGCAGUUUUCUUCGAGGUAUGCUUUACUGUAAAAACACUUCCUUUGCCACUGACCAUGGGUGUUUUCAGAACAUGCUAAUGGAAUUUUAAUUUUAAAACUCAGUCCAAACAUAAUUAUAUAGAUAUAUCUAACCCCCAAAGGGCCAUUUAAAAGUCUAACAAUUUAAAAGCCAAAAAAACACUGAGUUUUGGAUAUUCUGGUAUUUUGGCUUAUCGUUAGCCCACGUCUCUCACGUAAUCGUGAGUAAUCAGAAAGCUGACUUCCUCUGUUGCUCCAUUAGAGAAAUAGAGAAAACAGGAUACAUUUAGAUAACUUACAAGGCAUGAUCUGGGAUUUUCUUUUGCCUAAAGGACAUUAUUGAGACAUUGGCAAAGUCUCUUUGAAUAAGGUCUGUAGAAAAUAGUGUUGUAUCAAUGUUGAUUUUCUGAUUUUUUCCCCAACAUUUUAUUAUGAAAAAAUUCAAGCAUACAAUAAAAAUUGAGAGAAUUUUAUGGUGAACCCCUGAACAGUCAUAUGCCCGACACCUAUACUUGCUUCAUCACAUAUCUAAAGAUAGAUGCAUCUUUAUCUGUCUAUACAUCUAUCUAUUAGCAAAAUAGUAAAGACAUGUUAAUGUCUGCAGCUUCCUCUCAUGAUUCAGGGGUACCAAUGUGUAUGUGUGUGUCUGAGAAAGGGAGAGAGAAAAGAAUAAAACAGAUGCGUCAGAGUUAACAUUUGGGGAAUCUGGGAGAAAGUUAUGUGGGAACUCUCUGUGCCAUGCUUAAAAUUUAUCUGUAAGUCAGAAAUUGUGUCAAAAUGAAAAACUUGAAAAAAAAAUAGAGAUUAUAAGAAAAAUGCAGUAAAUUGAAACGUUCUCAAGAUAUCAGUGAAUCACUCCUUCUUAGAUAAAAUGAUUUUUUUUAGUCCAAAACUACAAAUGAUUAUGGUUUUAUUAUUGUCUUACUAUUAUUGUCAUCCUUCUACUAUCUUAAUCUAUUACCACAGAAGGUCUAGAUUUAAACAGAACAGGAAGGAAGGGGAUAUCUGCUUCAUCAGCAAGAAUUUGACUUUUAUCUAAAAACAACUGAAUUGUUUACCUGCCUAUUGGUCAUGUCUGCAUGAAGGGGACACAAUAAGCUUGGGCAGAGAGGAAACUUAGUGGUAUUCAUGAGAGGACUCCUCCCUUUUUAAAAUCUGUGGUGUAAUAUUGUACUCUGUUGGGAGAUGGAGAAAAGAUUUUUAUUUUAUUUUAUUUUACAAAUUGUUAUAGUUCACUGUAAACUAACUAUAAUUGAAAGAAUAAAAAUCAUUUAAAAAGUUGUUAUAGCGGAGUUUGUCUCGUGGUUUAGCAGAAAUGAAUCUGACUAGUAUCCAUUAGGAUGAUGUGGCUUCAAUCCCAGGCCUCGCUCAGUGGGUUAAGGAUCUGGCAUUGCCAUGAGCUUUGAUGUAGGUCACAGACACAGCUUGGAUUCCACGUUCCUGUGGCUGUGGUGUAGGCCAGCAGCUACAGCUCCGAUUCGACCCCUAGCCUGGGAACUUUCAUAUGCAGUGGGAGCUGCCCUAAAAAGAAAGAAAAAAAAAAGCAAAAUAAAUAAUAAAAAUAAAUUAAAAAAUAAAUUAAAAAUUGUUAUAGUUGAUUUACAAUGUUCUGUCAAUUUCUGCUGUACAGCAAAAUGUACAUAUAAAUACUUUAUUUUUCUCAUAUUAUCUUCUAUCAUGUUCUAUAACAAGAGAUUGGAUAUAGUUCUCUGUGCUGUACAGCAGGACUUCAUUGCUUAUCCGUUCUAAAUGUAAUAGUUCGCAUCUCCUAACCCCAAACCACCAGUCUACCCCAGUCCCUCCCCCUCUCCCUCCCUCUCAGCAACCACAAGUCUGUUCUCUAUGUCCAUGAGUUUGUUUCUGCUCUAUAGCCAGGUUCAUUUUACCGUACAUUAGAUUCCACAUAUAAGUGAUAUCAUAUGGUAUUUGACUUUCUCUUUCUGACUUACUUCACUUAGCAUGAGAGUCUCUACUUCCAUUCAUGUUGCCGCAAAUGGCAUUAUUUUUUUUUUAUGGCUGAGUAUUAUUCCACUGUGUAUAUAUACCAUGUCUUCUUAAUGUGUUUCUCUGUCCUUGGACAUUCAGGUUGUUUCCAUAUCUUGGCUAUUGGUGAAUAGUGCUGCAAUGAACAUAGGGGUGCAUGUAUCUUUUUGAAUAAAAAUUUUGUCUAGAUAUAUAUGCCCAUGGGUGAGAUUUCUGGAUCAUGUGGUAGUUCUAUAUUUAGUUUUCUGAGGUACCUCCAUACUGUUUUCCAUAGUGGUUGUACCAGUUUACAUUCCCACCAACAGUGUAGGAGGAUUCCCUUUUCAGAGAUAGGGAAAAGAUUUUUAAAAUAAAACUUUAUGCAUGUGUUUGAGAGCUUAGAUUCUUCCCCUUCAAUAUACCCAUACCAGUGUUAUCUCUUUCAGAGAAAACUCCUUGUGGGUAGGCAGUGUAUGCUUAUUUCCAUAGUGUCUAGAACACCACUGUAGAGCUGAUGAGUAGUAUCUAAUGACGAUGAGAUUAAGACUCAGGAAUGUCACAGCACAGCGUAAUGCUCUUCUUGAACAGCUUCUUGUGAGGAAGUGUUUAUUGGAAGGGGUGUUCAGGAAUAAGGGAUGUUCAGUAAUAGGAGAUGAUGGCUUUGUAGACUAGAGAUGGGGAGCCAUUAUAGUAGAGAAAAGGGAAAUUAAAGAGUCAUCAGGAGUUCCCAUCAUGGCUCAGUGGUUAAUGAAUCUGACUAGGAACCAUGAGGUUGCGGGUUCGAUCCCUGGCCUUGCUCAGUAGGUUAAGGAUCCAGCGUUGCUGUGAGCUGUGGUGUAGGUCGCAGACUUGGCUCGAAUCCCGUGUUGCUACAGCUGUGGUGUAGGCCGGGCAGCUA